UCUCUUCGGCUGGAUGAUGCCACCCAAGGUUUCUUUGCUUAAGGCUACUCAAGGUGAAGCCAUCAGAAACUACUACCAUCAGAAUCAUGUCAUCCAGGACAUGCUUGUUCCUCUCUACAAGGUUGGAGAUGCCCUGGAGUGGCAACACCUUGAGAUGGAGGUAAACAUGUCUUUUUCUGCUCCCGCAUUCAAUUACUCUUUUUCUUUUUAAUCUUCUUUGCUUGCUUUCUUUUUGGCGUAAUUUUAGUUGCAUUAAUAUUCUAUUGAAAUUUGUGUUGGUUUGAAUGUGAAAUGAAGUCAACCAAUUGUCAUUGCUACUUUCCCUGAAGAUUGCAACAAGUGAAACAAGUUUUAUUUUCCCUGAAAAACAAGAUUGUCUAAUGCUUGGAGGUAAUAGAAACACAUGAACAGGUGCUUGAAACCAUAUCUGAAGCAGGAUAUGAUUUCAACACGAAGUCAUACAGAAUAUGAUUAACUUAGAGUCAAUUUAAGAAAUCAAGGGUUUUUCCUUUAAUUUUUUAUUAUAAAUGUUAAAGCAAAUGAUAGCUGUCCUUUGGGUCUGUUUGGAGCAUUCUAGGAGGUUUUUUGUAGAUGGACUACAGCUGAAGGAUCAGAAGUGGCAAAGAAAGACCUUAAUAUGUAGAGGUAAAUAUAAAAGAGGGUAAACAUAGUCAUUGCACCUAGUAGUUUUGGCAAUCGAAAUAUCCUGACAUCAAAUUGUAGGCUGAAAACUUUUCUUCAUAUUCUUUGUUUCAAAGUAAAAGUUGUCUUUUUGUCGACUUUUUGAACUUGGAUGGCCAAGCGAACAUGGUUUAUUUGGUGGUCAGUUAUGUCUUUUUUUUUUUUUUUGAAAAUAUUUUAUGUUUGUUGGGUGUGCUCAGAAGCAGCUUCUGUAUUAUUAAAGCUUUUGUAAGUCUCUACUGAGUUGCUAACUGAAUAUGCAGUGUCUGUGAUCCCUAAUUGGAGUUGGACAAUAUAGGUUCUAAAAGAUUGUUGGCCUUGUGCCCAAAUUGGGAACGCUAGUGUUACUAGUUGUGGUCCCACAGUUUUUUAUUAUUAUCAUCAAGGACUCUAGUUGGUUGAUAUAAUUAGCAUUUCCCUUCCUAAUUCUUCAGGUAUACCCACUUUGGCUCUGUCCACAUCGGCUGUACAAGCUUCCAUACAAAACUAUGGUGUAUCCUGAGCCAGGCUUUGAGCACCAUCGCAGACAGGGAGACACUUCUUACGCUCAGAUGUAUACAGAUGUUGGGGUCUACUAUGCACCAGGUCCUAUCUUGAGGGGUGAAGUAUUUGAUGGUGCAGAAGCAGUUCGUAAAAUGGAGCAGUGGCUGAUUGAGAAUGGUGGGUUUCAGCCACAGUAUGCAGUGUCUGAACUGAGUGAAAAGAACUUUUGGAGGAUGUUUGAUGCCGAUCUGUAUGAGAAAUGCAGGAAAAAGUAUAAAGCUGUGGGAACCUUCAUGAGCGUGUACUACAAGUCCAAGAAAGGAAGGAAGACCGAAAAGGAGGUGCAAGAAGCCGAACAAGCCCAACUUGAGCCUGCUUAUGCAGAGGUUGACCAGCCCAUUGACUGAUUUAAAACCGAUCUUGGAUUAAUUGGUAGG
rnacentral:lncRNA from 1 species